GGGAAUGUGACUCAGUGGUAGAGCACUUGCCUUGCAUGCAGGAGGACCUGGGUUCGAUUCCUCAGCACCA
rnacentral:tRNA from 1 species